rnacentral:rRNA from 1 species
CUACGGGAGGCUGCAGUGGGGAAUAUUGGGCAAUGGGCGCAAGCCUGACCCAGCAACGCCGCGUGAGGGAAGAAUGUCUUCGGAUUGUAAACCUCUGUCCUUGGGGACGAAAAAAAUGACGGUACCCAAGGAGGAAGCUCCGGCUAACUACGUGCCAGCAGCCGCGGUAAUACGUAGGGAGCAAGCGUUGUCCGGAAUUACUGGGCGUAAAGGGUGCGUAGGCGGCGCUGUAAGUCAGAUGUGAAAUCCCCGGGCUUAACUCGGGAGUUGCAUUUGAAACUACAGUGCUUGAGUAAAGAAGGGGUAAGUGGAAUUCCUAGUGUAGCGGUGGAAUGCGUAGAUAUUAGGAGGAACACCAGUGGCGAAGGCGACUUACUGGUCUUUUACUGACGCUGAGGCACGAAAGCGUGGGGAGCAAACAGGAUUAGAUACCCGUGUAGUC